UCUUGAGUUAGGGGAAAAAUUUACGCCUCCUCCCAGCACGAUAAGAUCUGAGAUGGCAAAACCUUCUGCCGCCGCCGCCGGUUCCCAUCCCCACACCGUUGACGAUCUCUUUACGCCGCCGAUCUUUCGCCGCCGCCCCAUCUUCUUCCUGCCCCUCCUCUCGUAACCAUCCUCUCUCCCAGCAUCGCCAGUUCACACUGCUGGUGUUCUUGCCACCACCUCAUCGACCUGCAUCCACUCGCUCCAUGGACUCCCAGAUCAGGAAGCAACGCCCUUUCUCUCCACCCUCGCCGGCGGUCAAGGCGGCCCAGUGGCUUCUACCGACGAACUCCGGCUCUCCUUCAAGAAGAACCCAACAAUUUGUGAGGCCCGUGGUGCUGCUGGUUCACUCAGGCGACAUCCACAGAUAACUUCUACAACAUGGCAUCUGGUUUCCUGAAGCUGGGCUUCUUCUAUUUUUCUGAAUCUUUGUUACUGUGGGAAAUUCCAAAUGAUGGAACAAGGUACUAAACUCCACCAGAUUCCCCCGCUAGAUACAUUACAGGCCGUGUUAUAAUAUUUUGCUUAAAUUUCGUUGUGCAUGAAUUGAUUAGAUGAUGAUGAAUUACAUCACUGCUCCGCAUGAUUUGCCACUCUCUCCUCCAAGUGAUAUUAUGUUCAAUGUUCAUGCACGUGCUUCACAGACUGAAUCUCAUAUGUUGUGCCACACCCUUCUUUAUUUCUUAACCAUGACUUUUGACACUAAAUUCUAGAGCAUGUUAGCAUGUUGUUUAUCUUUUUUUCCUGUAGACCGUGCAACAAAGAAGAUGGAAUAUCAAAGUGAAGACAUCGGCUCGUCUGCUAUGGAUGCUGCUCCCGAUGGUAGAAUAACUGAACAUCUAUGCAGUCCCACUUUGGUUAUGAAUGAUCCAGUUGAUUUGUUCAGCAAUUGCAGGAUAUGUCGAUGGUUCGAUAGGACCCUAGCGAUGGACCUUAAACUUGCCUCUUAUUUGAGGAGAGAACACAAAUUGAUCCAAGGGUAACCUUUUCUGAUGAUUCUUGAAGCUGGAUAUUGGACAGCAAAAAUACCACGGAAAUAUAUGGAGUAAUUAAGAUGACGACAUCACUAGUAGAAAACCUCUCAUCCAUCUAAGCCAUUGGUACCGGUUCCCUUACGAACCGGUACCAAUGGGGUCAUCUAUACCGGUUCAAUGGCUCUGGCGGGCGAGGAGAUUUGGUACCGGUUCGUGAGGAGCUUUCGUACCGGUUCGUGUUAGGAACCGGUACGAAAGGUCUUCGGCCAAAAUUCAGACGCGUGGUGGGGCCCGGGCUGGACCUUUGGUACCGGUUCGUAACACGAACCGGUACCAAAGGGUACCCAGCUAUAUCAAAUCGCCCAGAUCCCUUCCCGAGCCCCCUGCUGGCUCUCAUUUUUCUCUUCUUCCUCACACUCUAAAUUUUUCUCCACCUCUCACACUCCAAUAAUCUUUAUUU